AAAGCAGGAAGAUGAGCUACUAGAUGAACUAAUAGAUGAACAGAAAUUCCUUCUCCAUGGGCAACUGAAAGAGUUUCUGUACAGGGCUUUUACUUCAGACUAGUCCUAAUCUACUUCAGACCAGUUUUACAGGCUGAGCACAUAUUUUUUGAAGCAAACCUCUCCAAUAAGCUUCAUCCAAAAUGGUUCCAGUUUGUGCACUCAAGAAACCAGACAAUGAUCCAGACAAAAUGUGGAAAACAAACCUUCCUGCUCCACCCUGAGGAGGAAUUUACAACAGCUUCAGGUAAAUAAACUUUGUGAACAUAGCAAGUUAGAUGAAGUUGGAAUACCUACAGUCGAAGAAAGCAAUAUUUUGAAGUAAACAGUGCUACAGACAAGUGUAGAGAGAAUGUUGUUAUUGUUACAACAAUCACAG
rnacentral:lncRNA from 1 species